rnacentral:rRNA from 1 species
GAUUUCUGGUGUGGUGCGGUGAGCCCGCCACUUUCCGUGGCGAGUGCUUGUUUCGCGCCUACCAUCCUUCCGGAUAGCGCGCUCUACCCUUCACUGGGCCGGAGUGCGUCUUCUGGAUCAUUUACUGUGAAAAAAUUAGAGUGUUUAAAGCAGGCUUAUGCUGUGAAUACAUUAGCAUGGAAUAAUAAGAUAGGACUUUGGUUCUAUUUUGUUGGUUUCUAGGACUGAAGUAAUGAUUGAUAGGGACAGUUGGGGGUGCUAGUAUUUAACGGCCAGAGGUGAAAUUCUUGGAUUCGUUAAAGACUAACUAAUGCGAAAGCAUU